UACGUAGGGAGCAAGCGUUGUCCGGAAUCAUUGGGCGUAAAGCGCGCGUAGGCGGCCCGAUAAGUCCGCUGUGAAAGUCAACGGCUCAACUGUUGGAUGCCGGUGGAUACUGUCGGGCUAGAGUACGGAAGAGGCAAGUGGAAUUCCUGGUGUAGCGGUGGAAUGCGCAGAUAUCAGGAGGAACACCGAUGGCGAAGGCAGGUCUCUGGGCCACUACUGACGUGAGAAGCGAAAGCGUGGGGAGCGAACAG
rnacentral:rRNA from 1 species